UUGAGGUUUCGUAUUUUCGUUCCUCUGUUGAAGGCGUGAUUUUGGGUGUGUGCGAGGUCGAUUACAUCCUCUGCGGUUGGGAUUUUGUCUCGGAAGAUCCGUGCGUUGCGUGCUUUCCAGAUCUGCCAUAGCACCCAUGCGAGGACCUCUUUCUCAGAGAUUUUCGCUAGUAGGGACGGCGUUGUGACAAAUACUCCACAGGAAGGUCCGAAGUUUCGGCGGAAUGGACAGGCUCCAUAUCUGUGUCCAUAAAGAUUGUGGGGGCUGAAUCUCGCCCCAUCAACAUGCUUUUCCAGCCCCAAGAUGGUCGCCGGCC